rnacentral:rRNA from 1 species
CGGAGGGUGCAAGCGUUAUCCGGAUUUAUUGGGUUUAAAGGGUCCGUAGGCGGAUCCGUAAGUCAGUGGUGAAAUCUCACAGCUUAACUGUGAAACUGCCAUUGAUACUGCGGGUCUUGAGUAAGGUAGAAGUGGCUGGAAUAAGUAGUGUAGCGGUGAAAUGCAUAGAUAUUACUUAGAACACCAAUUGCGAAGGCAGGUCACUAUGUCUUGACUGACGCUGAUGGACGAAAGCGUGGGGAGCGAACAGGAUUAGAUACCCUGGUAGUCCACGCCGUAAACGAUGCUAACUCGUUUUUGGGCUUUCGGGUUCAGAGACUAAGCGAAAGUGAUAAGUUAGCCACCUGGGGAGUACGUUCGCAAGAAUG